AUGGAUACAGGUGUGGAGAGAUGUGUGGAUGAUGAGGGGAGCCUAAGCAGCCAGCUGGAAGAAGAGGCAGGGGCGAACAGAAUGUUUGGGAGAUGGCAGAAUGGAUUGUUCACUGGAGGCGAUGGUCCACGUGGACGACUAGCAGGACCUGCUCAGCCAUUGUGUUUUCCCAAAGCCCCUGGCCCUAUCUCUGUCAAUUUUGCUGAUCCCAGGGAGGCAGGGCAUGAGGAGGCCCAGGGAGCUGGGAGGAGAAAAAGAAAGAAACUGCGGGUUCUGUACGCCAACCAGCCCACCGUGGGCAUCACGGAGCUCACGGAAGAGAACGUCAAGUUCAUCAUCGAGAACACGGACCUGGCGGUGGCCAAUUCUAUUGGAAGAAUCUUCAUCCCCCAGGUACCCAUAAUAGCCAUCGACUGGGUCCAGAUUGAUGCCAGUUCUUCCAUCUUCAUGAUGAGUUCAUUGCUCACAGCUUGGACUAAUUCCACUCACCGGUGAUGACAUCGUGGACAAGCUGCAAUACUCUCGGGACUGUACACGUGAGGAGUUCUGCCCGAGUGCUCAGUGGAGUUCACUCUGGAUGUGCGGUGUAAUGAAGACCAGACACGUCACGUCACAUCCCGAGACCUCAUCUCCAACAGCCCCCGGGUCAUUCCAGUGACAUCCCGGAAGCGCGAUAACGACCCCAAUGACUACGUGGAGCAGGAUGACAUCCUCAUCGUCAAGCUGAGGAAGGGCCAGGAGCUGAGACUUCGAGCCUAUGCCCAAAACGGCUUCUGCAAGGAACAUGCCAAGUGGAACCCCACUGCAGGGGUGGCUUUUGAACAUGACCCAGACGAUGUCCCGAGGCACACAGAUUACCCCAAACCUGAGGAAUGGCCAAAGAGCUGGAACUGGACGAGGAUGAGUCACAGGCUCCCCAUGACCCCAACGGCAAGCCUGAGAGGUUUUACUACAGCGUGGAGUCCUGUGGCUCUCUGAGCCCUGAAACCAUUGUCCUCUCAGCCCUCUCUGGAUUGAAGAAGCUGAGUGAUUUACGGACUCAAUUAAGCCAUGAGAUCCCGAGUGAUGUAGGUACUAUACACUAG